GGUCCUCUUCGCGCGCCCGGGCGCCGCGGGGCCCGGCCAUCUCCGGGCUGCCCUCGGAGGCCGGGCCGCGCGGGCGUUUGGCGCCCAGCCCCCUACUCUGCGCGGCGCCCUCUUUGUGUACAGGCCCGCGGCAGCCCCCCGCUUUCUUCCCCGCGGAUGCGCACGUGCGUCCCGAGCGCGGCGGCUGUGCCCAGAGACCCGCCUGACCCCGGGCGGCCUUAGCCCUGGUCCGGGCUCCAGCCACCGCAACACGCUCGCCUCUGGUCUCGCGCUCUGCCCUCAGGCACCUGUCCCCCGCUGAUCCACGCAAGGCCCCGUCUGCAGGUGAAGUGGCCUCCCUUAGAGCGACCCGAAAAGUGUGGUCCGUAUUUCAAGGUGGACUUUAAAAGGCGGUGCUGCCUUGCGCCCGCGGGCCCCGCCGGUGGCCGUGCGCUCCUAGACGUUAAGGGAAGGGCAGGCCUUCCCUAGUGCAGAGGCACGGGGCUUGGCCGACUGUCCAUUUUCGCAGAAACCUUCCUCCUGUGUGGGAUCGCUGUCUGGAGAAGGGCUCCCGCGCUGCUCCGGGAAGAAGCCGACCCAGGACGGGAACACGUGGCUGGAAGGUGUCUGGGGGCCAUCUCCAGAAAAGAGGAAGAGCUGCAAGUGCCGUCAGUGAUCCCCUCCAGGCACCCAGAGCCUUAACUGAAAUACCGGAUCGUUCCCUAGAUUUUUGCGACAUUAAACUAUAUUGUCCAGUUAAAAAAAAAAAAGUACGAAACACCGUGGUAGAGGACAACGAUUCCUGCCUCUCCCCUGACUGCACAGCCUCUGGACAGCUUUGCCAGUGGAAGAGCUUUGUUCCACCCACCUGCCCCAGUGCAGCUGUGUCGAUGGCACGAAGCUUCGUUCCGCAGCUCCUAUUUCACAGCGGUCCCCUCUCCCCGGUCUCGUUGCGGGUCACACCAUGAUGGCUGCCCACCCCUCAGAUGCGCCACAGGUUCUGGAGUUGGCUGUUCCCGAGGAGAGCCAGGUGGCGACUUUUUUGAGCAGGACCAGAACAGACCUCCUCGGGCCACGCAGCUGCAAGUGGCACAGUGACCCAGCUGCUCGCUUGCAACCAGCGACUUUCCCAAACCAGCUGCUGCUUCAGCUUCCUUUGUGAUCGGGCCAGUUUCUAAAUUGGGUAACGGUCAAGAGGCAUGGUCUGUGAUGUCAUGUAUGUAAAAGUCUGUUUCUCGUUGAAGUUACAGAAGUAAUGACAACGCGAGCUUUCGCAGGGCCGAGCUCACUUUGUUCUGAUCGCUGCCACCGGCGUAGGGGGUCCAGGGUGGUGGGUGGAUGAAGCCCACCUCUGCCCGAAGCAUCCAGCCGGGCUGUGCGUCCACUUCCUGGUCGGAGAAACGGAACUAACAAGCAGAAUCCAACUUCUCUUUAUUGUUUGCUAUGAAGAGUGAUCUGAUUUAAACAUUACUCGAAGGCCCCUGCUUAUUUUACCAAGCGCAAUGUCCUCAACGUUCCUCCAUGUUGUAUCAGGUGACAGGACUUCCUUCUCUUUUAAGGUUGAAUAAUAUUCCGUAGUCUGGAUAGACCACAUCUUGUUCAUCCAUUCACCUUUCAGUGGACAGUGGGGUUGUUUCCACCCCUUGGCUAGUGUGAGUAAUGCUGCUGUGAACAUGGAUGUACAAAUAUCUGUUUGAGUUCCUGCUUUCAGUUCUUUUGGGUCUAUACCCUCGUGGGUGUGAGGUGGUAUCAAUGAUUUUUAAGACUCCUUUGCUUCCCAAUUUCUUUAGCUGUCUUUCCCUCCCCUCCUACCUUAUGAAAUACUUAAGAGGUUAAAUGUAUAAGAUAAAGAAAUUCCUAAAAAUGAGGAAUUGGGAAGUUUAGACUUAAUUUCCCAGAGGGAUUGGAAUGAGUCCCUUUUUACCACCCUGAAUUCUCCCAGCCAGAGCCUGCCCUGUCCCACUUCGCAGCUGGCUUUGGGUUCAUGAAAACAUAUACAAUAUUAGAAAUUAAGACUAAAAGAUUGUUUUUAAAAGAUUUUUAUUCAUGUAUUUAAACUUACAAUAAGAAACCGAUUCUAUGUUAC